CCUACGGGGGGCAGCAGUGGGGAAUAUUGGACAAUGGGCGAAAGCCUGAUCCAGCAAUGCCGCGUGUGUGAAGAAGGCCUUCGGGUUGUAAAGCACUUUCAGUGGGGAAGAAAGCCUUGGGGCUAAUACCCUCGAGGAAGGACAUCACCCACAGAAGAAGCACCGGCUAACUCCGUGCCAGCAGCCGCGGUAAUACGGAGGGUGCGAGCGUUAAUCGGAAUUACUGGGCGUAAAGCGCGCGUAGGCGGUCUGAUAAGCCGGUUGUGAAAGCCCCGGGCUCAACCUGGGAACGGCAUCCGGAACUGUCAGGCUAGAGUGCAGGAGAGGAAGGUAGAAUUCCCGGUGUAGCGGUGAAAUGCGUAGAGAUCGGGAGGAAUACCAGUGGCGAAGGCGGCCUUCUGGACUGACACUGACGCUGAGGUGCGAAAGCGUGGGUAGCAAACAGGAUUAGAUACCCGGGUAGUC
rnacentral:rRNA from 1 species